rnacentral:rRNA from 1 species
UACGGGGGGGGCAAGCGUUGUUCGGAAUUACUGGGCGUAAAGGGCUCGUAGGCGGCCAACUAAGUCAGACGUGAAAUCCCUCGGCUUAACCGGGGAACUGCGUCCGAUACUGAAAGGCUUGAAUCCGGGAGAGGGAUGUGGAAUUCCAGGUGUAGCGGUGAAAUGCGUAGAUAUCAGGAGGAACACCGGUGGCGAAGGCGGAUCUCUGGGCCUUACCUGACGCUCAGGCGCGAAAGCUAGGGGAGCGAACAGG